rnacentral:rRNA from 1 species
CCUCCUUUUUUCCUCCUUGCGGCAUCUUGGUCAAUGGACGGAAGUCUGAACCAGCCAUGCCGCGUGCAGGAAGACGGCUCUAUGAGUUGUAAACUGCUUUUGUACAAGGGUAAACCUGAAUACGUGUAUUCAGCUGAAAGUACUGUACGAAUAAGGAUCGGCUAACUCCGUGCCAGCAGCCGCGGUAAUACGGAGGAUCCAAGCGUUAUCCGGAUUUAUUGGGUUUAAAGGGUGCGUAGGCGGAUUGAUAAGUUAGAGGUGAAAUGUCCGAGCUUAACUCGGGAACUGCCUCUAAUACUGUUGAUCUAGAGAGUAGAUGCGGUAGGCGGAAUGUAUGGUGUAGCGGUGAAAUGCUUAGAGAUCAUACAGAACACCGAUUGCGAAGGCAGCUUACCAAUCUAUAUCUGACGUUGAGGCACGAAAGCGUGGGGAGCAAACAGGAUUAGAUACCCGUGUAGUC